rnacentral:lncRNA from 1 species
UGCCUUCAAGCUUCCAACCAGACAAUCUUGUCGCACUUCUUUUACCAUAUAAUCACAUUGAACAAUUGUAGAAGGGAAAUAAAGUAAGAAUUAACUCAUCAUUUUAACUUAUUAAGAAUUAACUCAUCAUUUUAACUUAUUUUCAUAAAAAUUAUUAAACUUUGAUUAAGGUAAAAAAAAACAAAAAAACAAAAAUGAGCAUUAUUAUGUUUUCUCAUUUGUUUCUAAUUUAUCAUGGCCUUCGACGGCCCUUGUAUAAGUUGAAAAUGAUGAACCUCAAAGGGUUCCAAAAUCUGAUCAAGACACCAGACUUCACAACAGCAUCAAAUCUUGAAGUUUUGAUUUUGGAAGGUUGUACCAAAUUCGUGGAUAUUCAUCUAUCCAUCGGAGUGCUUAAGAGCCUUAAACUUUUGAAUUUAAGAGAUUACAAAAGUCUUAGGACUCUUCCGACCAAAAUUCGAAUGGAAUCUCUUGAAACAUUAAUUCUUUCGGGUUGCUCGAGUCUUAUAAGGUUUCCGGAGAUUAAUGGGAAAAUGGAACGUCCAAACACUCUUUAUGUUUAUAGAAUUGAAAAUUUAUCAGAGAAUUGGCAGCAAGCAAAGUUUUUGAAAGAGCUCGACUUGAGUGAAACAGCCAUAACAGAACCACCAUCCUUCAUUUUCCAAUUUAAAAAUCUUAAAGUUCUGUCUUUCAAUGGAUGCAAAAGAUCAUCUAAGUUACAACAAAAUCUUCCUUCUCUUUUCAAGUUAAUCGAAGAGGAAGGACAAACUCCAUGGCUCCGAUGUUACCUUCGUUGUCAGGUUUGAGUUCCUUAAGAAAGUUAAAGCUAAGGGACUGCAAUCUUGGCGAAGGAGAUAUUCCACGUGAUAUUUCUUGCCUAUCCUCCUUGACAGAUCUUGGUCUUAGUGGUAACAAUUUCAUCAACAUACCUGCAUCUAUUAUUCGAUUUUCCAAGCUUCAUUCUAUUAGAUUGUCACUUGUCAGAUUGCAAGAUGCUUAAAUCGUUGCCUGAGCUACCAAGUAUAAAAGAGGUGUGGAUAGAUGGUUGUUCUUCACUUGAAGUAGUUCCAAGUCCAUUAAUAUGCAAUCCAGUGUACGGCGCUACCGUUAAAGCCAUUAGCUGCUUCAAAUUGGCUGAGAAUAUCAAUGCAUUAACACUGCUGGAAAAACAUCUUAAGGUCGAUUACUCUAUUUUUUCUCCCUUAGAAAAUCUCAUACUUGAGAAUUUAUGGUUUUAGUUGCCAAACGACUUGUGUUUUAUUUUGCAGGCAUUUGCAAAUUCAAGAAAACCGUUUGAUAUUGUUAUGCCCGGAAGUGAAAUCCCAGAAUGGUUUGGCCAACAAAAAAGUGGCUCUUCAAUUUAGGUACCCUAACCUAUCAACCUUCGGAAUGAUAGUCAAUGGAUUGGAGUUGCUUGUUGCUGCAUUUUUGUCGAUAAUGAUGCUUCAAGCGAGAUUAUCAGUUGUAAUGGAUCUAUCUUGUAUAGAAAUUUUCAACAAGCCACCCAUAAAUUAUAUCGAGGUAAAAUUUCUCUAAAUUUUGCUUGGAGUAACUCGUCGGUGGAUAGAGGAUUUCACCUGCCCAUAAUUAAAUAUCAUCUUUUUCUUUGUUUUUGGCGGAUAAAGCAUAUAUUAUAUCCAAUUUCCAUGGAGGAUAAAUAUGGUGACUGUAAAACCAAUAAUUUAUGGACAAUAAAUUGCUUAGAUAAAAAAUACGAUGAGCUCCGGAUGUCUUUCUCAGGUAGAUCUAGAGGCGGUAAGGUGAAGAUCAAGUGUGGUAUUAGAAUAGUGUAUGAGAAAGAUUUGGAAGAAAUAAAAGAGUUGCAGUGACAUACCACUCAAUCUUCUCCCAAUUUUGAACACAUCCGCCAACACUCUGCUCAAAACUGAUGAAAAAAAUUUUCAAUUUUAUAAUGGGCCAAUCGGGAAAGAAGCAUUAACUGUGGUAAACUACUUAACCAACCUUGUCCUAUUAAUUGUUAUUUUUUUACACAUCUUUUAUAUAAUUUAAUCAUUCUAGACUUAUUUACAUUCCUUCGUAUAUAUCAAACAAAUUUGAAUUUUUUAUUCAUACUCAUAUUCAACAUGAGCUCAUUUUCUAUACAUAUCCCAAAUGUUGAUUACAUUCUUUAUACCAUUUAAAAUUUUAGUCACUUAAUUCAUUCCUUUUUACAUAAUUUAAAUGUGCACAUUUUAAUUGGUUUUCAUUUUUUUAUUUAUUAAAAUUUUAUUUUCAUUCUAGUAACAAAACCAUAGAAAUUUGAGAGGAGAUUUUCACCGCUUAAAAUGUCCCCAGUGUUUCACCUAAAACCUCUGGGAAAAGCUUGUAAAAUUACUUGUGGGAUUAAAACUUCAUUAGUCAGUAUAUCUCCUAGUCACUGUUCACUUUGACUUUGACAUUUCGUGUAUCAACUCUUUGAUUCCUGAAAUUAGGGAGAUUUGAAUAUAUACUUUUAUCCUUAAUUCCUCACUCUUUUAUUUUUAUUUAUUCAUCUAUAUAUCUUUGAUUAGUUUGAUUUUCGCGGAAAAGAAUUAUUGGAAUUUGGAAUCCAGGUCGCCGGUUCUGGAAGUAAUUCAGCUUGUCAAAUCCCAAAUGUUUAAGAUAUUUGAGAAAUUUGAGUAAAACACAAACUGUCUUUUGUCUACUCUCACCUUCUUGGAGUCUUCUCGGAAACAACAUCUAUAACCCCGAAUUUCCACACCUACUCCCUUUCAUUUCGAAUACUAAUGUUUUUAAUUAUUAUCUUUCAUUGUUAAGUACAUAAAAUGCAAACCGUCACCCGGCCCUCUUCUAUUUUUCAUAUGUUUUUCCUCAUAUAUUCAUUAUUUUCUGAUUUUGAACACCAGAUUGAAAUAUCCUUCUCCUUUCAUACAUCCUCAUGUUGUCGUUACCUUCAACUUCUUCCUCCAUUUCUAGAAAAAAAUAUGAUGUUUUCUUGAGUUUCAGAGGUGAAGAUACCCGCAACAACUUUACCGAUCAUCUCUAUGAUGCUCUAAGUAGGAGUGGGAUCGUCACUUUCAGAGAUGAUCCAAAGCUGGAGGCCGGCGAAGAGAUCGCACCUGAACUCUUUAAAGCAAUUCACCAAUCAUGGUGCUCAGUAAUCGUUUUUUCACAAACUUAUGCCUUUUCAAGUUGGUGCUUGGAGGAGCUUGCUGAGAUUGUUAAACAACAUAACAACGACGGCCAUAAAGUGUUUCCAAUUUUUUANNNNNNNNNNNNNNNNNNNNNNNNNNNNNNNNNNNNNNNNNNNNNNNNNNNNNNNNNNNNNNNNNNNNNNNNNNNNNNNNNNNNNNNNNNNNNNNNNNNNNNNNNNNNNNNNNNNNNNNNNNNNNNNNNNNNNNNNNNNNNNNNNNNNNNNNNNNNNNNNNNNNNNNNNNNNNNNNNNNNNNNNNNNNNNNNNNNNNNNNNNNNNNNNNNNNNNNNNNNNNNNNNNNNNNNNNNNNNNNNNNNNNNNNNNNNNNNNNNNNNNNNNNNNNNNNNNNNNNNNNNNNNNNNNNNNNNNNNNNNNNNNNNNNNNNNNNNNNNNNNNNNNNNNNNNNNNNNNNNNNNNNNNNNNNUUAAAAUUUCUUUUUCUUUAGGCAUGAAUCAGAAUUUAUUAAAGACAUUGUCAAGAAGAUAUCAGCAAAACUAUGUCAGACAUAUCCAGCUACUCAUAGCGACUUGGUUGGAAUUAGUAAACGUUUGGAGGAUUUAUAUUUGAAAAUAAACAUUGGGGAAGAUGAUGUCCGAGUUAUAGGAAUUUGCGGAAUGGGUGGUAUCGGUAAAACGACACUCGCAAGAGCUGCUUACACUCAAAUGUCAUCUCAUUUUGAAGGUAAAAGCUUUAUUGCUGAUAUUCGAGAAGUUUCAGACAAAUGCGGACUAGUUUCUUUACAGAAACAACUUCUUUCACAGAUCUUUCAUGGUGAAUGCUUCAACUUUUUCGAUGUUCAUGAAGGGAGCGACAUAAUUAGCCAUAGGUUGUCUCACAAAAAGGUUCUUGUUGUUCUUGAUAAUGUUGAUAACAUACAACACUUAAAAUGCUUGGUUGGAAGGCACGAUUGGUUCGGAUUAGGAAGUAGAAUCGUUGUAACAACAAGAGAAGAACAUUUGCUUCGAUCUUGGCCAGUUGAUGAUAUGUAUGAGCCCACAACAUUGAAUCCCAAAGAUGCGCUUCAACUUUUCAGUCUGAAAGCUUUUCAUAGUGAUACAGUGCAGAAAGAUGAUUUCAUUGAGCUUUCUAAACAUGUUGUAAAUUAUGCUGGCGGACUCCCUUUAGCUCUUGAAGUUUUGGGUUCCUUCUUGUGCGGUAGAGAUGCGACUCAAUGGAGAAGUGCGAUUGAAAGACUUAAAAGAGAUUCUAAUAAAGAAAUUUUCGAUAAACUUCGAAUCAGUUUUGAUGGACUGGAAGAAAGGGAGAAGAAUAUAUUUUUAGAUAUAGCAUGCUUCUUCAAUGGGGAGAAUAAAGAUUUUGUAAUCAAAGUAUUGGAUGGUUGUGAGUUUUUUCCUGAUAUUGGAAUUGAUGUUCCCGUUAAAAAAUCUCUCGUAAAAGUCGAUAAACACAACAAAAAUUUGAAGAUGCAUGACUUGUUACAAGAGAUGGGAAGAACAAUUGUUAGAGAAAAAUGUAUUGAUGAACCUGGAAAACGUUGCAGAUUGUGGGAGGAAAGAGACGUCCAUCAUGUCCUAACAAAAAACACUGUAAGUCAUUCAACAAUAGUUACAUACUUUUUUUUUCUAUCCUACAUUAUUCACCAUUUAUUUUAUUUUCUUAUUAUCUGUCGUUGAUCUUUUUUAGGCUACAAAAUUGGUUGAAGGCAUAAUCAUUGAUAUUAAAAGGUAAGAAGACACACAUAAACUUAUAUCUAUGUGUACUGUAAAUAAUUAUUAUUUUUAAAUAUGAUAAAAAAAACUAUAACAAAACUUUUGACAUUCAAUAUUUCAAUGUUUAAUUAUGAAAUUUAUCUAGCAACAUAUUUACUUUUUCAAAAGAGAAAUGUAUGUAUUUUUGAAAUAUUAAUGGUAUAUUUUUUUGUGAAAAUUAAUGCUAUAUAUUUAAUGUACUAAAAGUGUAUAUCAACAAAUUAAAUUAUAACAUGUCAUCAAAAUUUUUUUAAUGAAAAUGGUUUUUUUUAAUUAUGUGUCAUUGUUUGGUUCAUUAACUUGUAAAUUAUGCAUUGUUUGCGGACCAAAUAUAAAUCAACAUAUUAAUUCAAUUUUUUAGGAUUAGGUAAUUUAACAUUGGAUGUGAUUGUUAGAUAUAAGUAUCUCUUUAAUAUGGGUAUAUUCAAAAAAAAUUUAAAAAUUAUUUUUUUCACGUAUUUAAAAAGGUUCUUAAAGGAUCAUAUCUUAAUACCCAUAUACGAAUGUGCAUUAGAUAUAAGUAUUGGAUACGAGUACUUAAAAAACAAUAUCGAUGCAACAUUUCUUUUAGAUAUUGAAUGCUUUUGUAUAUUUUGAAGCUCAUUUUUGUUUUGCUCAUGGACAUUAGGGAAUCGAACAAGAUGCUCAAUUUGAGUGUGGAUAGCUUCUUGAAGAUGAAAAAACUGAGAUUGCUCAAAGUGCUUUGCCUUUCAAAUUGUGAUGAUCUUAAAUAUCUUUCUAAUGAAUUACGAUUUUUAGAUUGGACAGGAUACCCUUUAAGAUACUUGCCUUCAAGCUUUCAACCGAACAACCUUAUUGCGCUUCUUUUACCAUAUAGUCACAUUCAACAACUAUGGAAGGGAAAUAGAGUAAGAAUUUACUCAUCUUAUCCUUGUGUUUUAGCUUAUUUUAAUAUAAAUUAUUAAAAUUUGAUUAAGGUAAAACAAAAAAAAAAAAAGAAGCAAAAAUGAGCAUUAUUAUGUUUUCUCAUUUAUUUCUAAUUUAUUAUGGUCUUCAACAGCCCUUGUUUAACAUGAAAAUAAUGAACCUCAGAGGGUCUCAAAACCUGAUCAAGACACCAGACUUCACAACAGCAUCAAAUCUUGAAGUUUUGAUUUUGGAAGGUUGUACCAAAUUAGUGGAUGUUCAUCCAUCAAUCCGGAUGCUUAAGAGCCUUAAACUUUUGAAUUUAAGAGAUUGCAAAAGUCUUACGACUCUUCCAACCAAAAUCGGAAUGGAAUCUCUAGAAACAUUAAUUCUUUCGGGUUGCUCAAGUCUUGUAAGGUUUCCGGAGAUUGAUGGGAAAAUGGAACGUUUAAAAACUCUAAAUCUUUCCGGUUGUUAUAGAGUGGAAAAUUUAUCGGAGAAUUUGCAGCAAGCAAAGUUUUUGGAAGAGCUCGACUUGAGUGAAACAGCCAUAACAGAACCACCAUCCUUCAUUUUUCAAUUUAAAAAUCCUAAAGUUCUGUCUUUCAAUGGGCGCAAGGGACCAUCAUAUAAGUUACUACCAAAUUUGCCUUCUCUUUUCAAGGUAAUCCAAGGAAGAAGGACGAAUCCCAUGGCUCGGAUGUUGCCUUUGUUGUCAUGUUUGAGUUCUUUAAGAGAGCUAAAACUAAAGGACUGCAAUCUUUGUGAAGGAGAUAUUCCACGUGAUCUUUCUAGUCUAUCCUGUUUGGAAGAACUUGAUCUUAGUGGUAACAAUUUCAUCAGCAUACCUGCAUCUCUUACUCGACUCUCCAAGCUUGAAGAGCUUAGAUUGUCAAAUUGCAACAUGUGCACUCUUGGUGAAGCAGAUAUUCAUGGUCUAUCCUCUUUGAAACGACUUUUUCUUGACGGUAACAAUUUCAUCACCGUUCCUUCGGCUCUGACUCAACUUUCCAAGCUUAAAUUGCUUGCAUUAUCAAAUUGCAUGAAGCUUAACUCGUUGCCUGAGCUACCAACAAGUAUAGAAGAUGGGUGGCUAGAUAGUUGUUCUUCACUUGAAGUAGUUGCAAGUCCAUCAAAAGUAUGCAAUUUAGUGUGUUGUGGUGACAUUAGUGCCAUUAACUGCUUCAAAUUGGCUGAGAAAAUCAAUGUAUUAACACUGCUGAAAGAACAUAUUAAGGUCGAUUAAUCUAUUUUUUUCUCCCUUACAAAAUCUCAUACUUGAGAAUAUAUGGUUUUAGUUACCAAACGACUUGUGUUUUAUUUUGCAGGCAUUUCCAAAAUCAAGAAAAUUUUUUGAUGAUGGCUUCUUUGAUAUUAUGAUGCCCGGAAGUGAAAUCCCAGAAUGGUUUAGCCAACAAAAAAGUGACUCUUCAAUUAAGAUACCACUUCGGAAAGAUAGUGAAUGGAUUGGAGUUGCUUGUUGCUGCAUUUUUGUCAAUAAUGAUGCUUCAAGGAAUAAGGAGUCUAUCAGCUGUAAUGGAUCUAGAGUUUUUCGAGGUAGAAAUUGUAGACCAAUUGAUUGGAGAAACCGGUGGGUAGGUCGAUACUUUCGCAAGCCCAUAAUGAAAGAUCACCUUUUUCUUCGUUAUUUUCCGCGUGAUAAAUAUGGUGACUGUGAAACCAAUAAUUUAUGGACGACAGAUUGCUUAGAUCAAAUAUGCGAUGAGCCUGAGUUGUCUUUCAGUACCUUUUUUGGACCAAAUUACCGUUGUGUUAAGGUGAAGAAGUGUGGUGUUAGAAUAGUGUAUGAGAAAGAUUUGGAAGAAAUGAAAGAGUUGCAGUGCGAUACCACUCAAUCUUCUCCAAAUUUUGAGCACAUCCACCAACACUCUGCUCACAACCAUGGAUCAGUAGGUAGCACUUCUCACAUAAAACGGAAACGUAAUAUCUAUGAAGAAAUGGAGGAAGAAGAGCCGCAACCAAAACUGAUGCAAAAUUUUUUCAAUUUUGUAAUGGACCAAUCAAGAAAGAAGCAUUAACUGAGGUAAACUACUUAACCAACUUUGUCCUAUUAAUUUUUGUUUACACAUCUUGUAUUUCAUUUAAACAAUUCUUCUAGACUUGUUUUACAUAUGAGAUAUGAUCCUUCCAUUAUAUGCCAAAACAUUUUAAAAAAUUUUAUUCAUAUUCAUAUUCAACGUCUACAUAUCUCAAAUGUUGAUAACAUUGUUUUUUAUACCAUUUAAAAUUUUAGUCACUUAAUUCAUUCCUUUUUACAUAAUCGAAAUGUGUAUAUUUUGAUUGGUUUCAUCUUUUUUUUUUUUAUUAAAAUUUUAUUUUCAUUAUAUAUAUAUAUUCACUUACAUUUAUAUUUUAUUUAUAGGUUGAAGAUGAGGUAAAUUAAAACAAAAUUGUGAGACAAAAAUAAAGACGAAGCAAGUAAUGAUAAAAUGAAAACCCUUUAAUAAGGAUCAAUCAUAAUUUCAACUGAGUUAAAAAUUAUUUUAUUUUUAUUGGAGACCAACAUAUAUUUAAUCAGUCAAAACUGUUUUUAUGUAUUACUGAGCUUAGUGGAAGAAAAUGAUGGGAAAAUGAAAUACAGAUGCGAUCCUAAGCAACAAAUACAGCUUUGCAUGAGAACCUAAUCCCAUCACCAGACUAUUUUAAGUGCUUGGAACUUGAAAAUGAGAGCUCUUGUUUAUCCUGCUCUAUCUCCUGCGACUAAUGUAAAAGAGUUACAACAAUGCAUACACAAACAAAACGAAUAUGGCGGCCUUCAGCUUCAUCAAUACACUAAAUACGCCUAGGUGAUCAAGAUGGAGGGCUAUACUUAAGAUGUUGCUCAUUGAAGCUGAUUAACUGAAAGGGAAGGAAAAAAACAAAAGAAGUGCAAGAAUUGUCAGCUCUUUGAGUCAAUUUAAUGAAGGAAAAGAUCAGGCAAGAAAAUGAUCCAUUACCAGCAGUGGAUUGUUAGCUUGAAGAUAUUGGUUGUCCACCAGAACCUCUUUUCCAUCGGACCUGUCAAAAUGUGACAAACAAAAUUUAUCAUCGACAACAUGAACUUCAAGAAAGUGCAGCAUAAAUUUGAGGACUCUCAGAGACUCCAACAAAAGAAUCACAUCUAAGAUCAGCAAGCUAAAAAUUUUAGUUAUCUAGCAGUUCAUGUCCUAAAUUACUUGCUAUGUAAGGGGCCAUAAGUGAUAGCAUCAUCAAUUUCUGGGAAAUAAAAUCCUAGGGAAUGAAACAAAAAACUGUUAUUUGAAGGUAGAAAGAAUAUUCCGAAAGCCAAAAAGAAAUGUCUAUAUCAGGUCAUACAUACUCAAUCAGCACAUAGUGCUUAUGAAGUGUAGGACAUUCUCCCAAAUCGAGAACUAAAGAAAAACAUGAUGAUUUCUAAGAAACUACAUCCAAAAACAUGUGCAAACAUGAUAGUUACAACAUAAAAGAGUACAUAAAAUGCCCCAACAACCACCGAAACUCUAAAGAGCGACAUGAAAGUACAUUAAGUGCUCAUACAUCGCAACAUGAUAAGUUGAUAACUUUGACAUUUCGUGUAUCAACUCUUUGAUUCCUGAAAUUAGGCAGAUUAAUACUUUUAUCCUUAAUCCCUUACUCUUUUAUUUUUAUUUAUUCAUCUAUAUAUCUUUGAUUAGUUUGAUUUUCGUGGAAAAGAAUUAUUGGAAUUUGGAAUCCAGGUCGCUGGUUCUGGAAGUAAUUGAGCUUGUGCAAAUCCCAAAUGUUUAAGAUAUUUGAGAAAUUUGAGUGUCUUUUGUCUACUCUCACCUUCUUGGAGUCUUCCCGGGAACAACAUCUAUAACCCCGAAUUUCCACACCUACUCCCUUUCAUUUCGAAAACUAAUGUUUUUAAUUAUUGUCUUUCAUUGUCAAGUACAUAAAAUACAAACCGUCCAACAUUUUUAACUCUCACCUUCAUGGAAAGAACAUAUCACCCGGCCCUCUUCUAUUUUUCAUAUGUUUUUCCUCAUAUAUUCAUUCUUUUCUGAUUUUGAGCACCAGAUUGAAAUAUCCUUCGCCUUUCAUACAUCCUCAUGUUAUCGUUACCUUCAACUUCUUCCUCCAUUUCUAGAAAAAAAAAAUGAUGUUUUCUUGAGUUAAAUCGGAUUUGUAGUCGAAUUGGAUAGGUUAUUAGUUUGGUGGUCCAAUGAUUUAAAAAUUAUUAAAAUUUAAAAAAGUUAAAAUAGAGUUUCGAUUCAUUUAGUUUUUAACAGGUUGAAUCAGUUCGUAUCAAUUUUCAAUCUAAUCAAUUCAAAAUCACUCAUCGAACUAAUUCUUUGUCGGCUCUUGAUCUAAUCGAUCGUUCAAUCCGAUUCAAGCAAGACUGAAUCAAUAGAUAAAAGAUGAGAAUAAUUCUUAACAACAACCUGCAAACUAUGAGAUUAAUUAUAUCUCAAAUUGAUCCAACAUAAAACAGAUAACAUACUUACUUUGUCGGCCCCUAAUUUCCACCCCUAUGCUCAUAUACUUGCUUUUCUAGUUUCUUUGUGGGUAUUGGACGAUAUAUUUUCUGAUUUUUAACACCACAUUGAGAUAUUCUUCUCCUUUCAUACAUACUCAUGUUGUCCUUACCUUCAACUUCUUCCUCCAUUUCUAAAAAGAAAUAUGAUGUUUUCUUGAGUUUUAGAGGUGAAGAUACUCGCAACAACUUCACAGAUCAUGUUUAUGAUGCUACAACUAAUAGAAAAGUCAACAAUAUUAAUUAUAUGUCUAACUAAUAACAUUAUAAAAAUAUAUGAUUAAAUUAGGUUAGAAAUUAAAUCUUAAAUUUAGGCAUAAUUAAAAAAAAAACUAAAAUUGAAAUUCUAACAUUUUCUUAUAAUGUAAAAGAAACAAUAUCCUAUACAUUAAAUUAAUAAAUUGUAUUCAUACAUAAAAUUUUAUGAUACUGAGUAGAUAUAAGUUAUUUUAGUCUGCACCUAAUGAACAUUUUAGAUGCUUCAAAUAGAACUUAAUCAUAUAAAAGGCAAAAUGUGAGGGACCGAAUUUAAAAUAACGCAUUGUCCUCCCUGACAGGUGUCUCCAAAUACUUCUUUAAUAUAUAGUUAUAUAGACAAUUAUAUGAUUAUGUAAAUGAAAGUAAAAGACAAACCGUCCAACACUCUACUUAUUACUUAGAAUUAUUGUAGGCUCCAUUUUGUCUACACCCACCUUCUUGGAUUCUUCCUGGAAAGAACAUGCAUCACCCAAUGUCCACACCUACUCGUAUUCAUUUCGAAAAUGAAAAGGUUAAAAAGAUUAAAAGAAAUUGCUUAGAAACUUCCUUUAUUCUUCCCUGAAAUUUUCAUCUGUUUUUCUCAAUCUUCACUUUCAUAUACUUACUGUUUCUAAUUUCUUUCUGGCGUAUUGAGCGAUCAAUUUUCUGAUUUUGAACACUACAUCCACAUAUGUAUUUUUCUUCUCAAACAUCGUCAUGUUGUCAUUACCUUCAUCUUCCUCAUACAUUUCUAGAAAGAAAUAUGAUGUUUUCUUGAGUUUUAGAGGUGAAGAUACUCGCAAAAACUUCACCGAUCAUCUCUAUGCUGCUCUAAAGAGGAGUGGGAUCGUCACUUUCAGGGAUGAUCCCAAGCUGGAGGCCGGUGAAGAGAUCGCGCCAGAACUCUUUAAAGCAAUUCAGCAAUCAUGGUGCUCGGUAAUUGUUUUUUCAGAAACUUAUGCCUUUUCAAGUUGGUGCUUGGAGGAGCUUGCUGAGAUUGUUCAACAACAUAACAACGACGGCCAUAAAGUGUUUCCAAUUUUUUACGAUGUUGAUCCAUCUGAUUUAAGAAAACAAAAAGGGAAAGUGGAAGAAGCCUUUGCCAGACAUGAAGAGAGAUACAAAGAAGAAAGUGAGAAGAUCCAAAGGUGGCGAAAUGCUUUAAUUCAAGNNNNNNNNNNNNNNNNNNNNNNNNNNNNNNNNNNNNNNNNNNNNNNNNNNNNNNNNNNNNNNNNNNNNNNNNNNNNNNNNNNNNNNNNNNNNNNNNNNNNNNNNNNNNNNNNNNNNNNNNNNNNNNNNNNNNNNNNNNNNNNNNNNNNNNNNNNNNNNNNNNNNNNNNNNNNNNNNNNNNNNNNNNNNNNNNNNNNNNNNNNNNNNNNNNNNNNNNNNNNNNNNNNNNNNNNNNNNNNNNNNNNNNNNNNNNNNNNNNNNNNNNNNNNNNAAACAUAUCAACAAAAUUUUACUCAAAACAUUAAAAUUUCUUUUUUUUAGGCAUGAAUCAGAAAUUAUUAGAGACAUUGUUAAGAAGAUAUCAGCAAAACUAUGUCAGACAUAUCCAGUUACUCAUAGCGACUUGGUUGGUAUUAGUGAACGCUUGGAGGAUUUGUAUUUGAAAAUAAACAUUGGGGAAGAUGAUGUCCGCGUUAUAGGAAUUUGCGGAAUGGGUGGCAUCGGUAAAACGACACUCGCAAGAGUUGCUUACACUCAAAUGUCACCUCAUUUUGAAGGUAAAAGCUUUAUUGCCGAUAUUCGAGAAGUUUCAGACAAAUGCGGCCUAGUUUCUUUACAGAAACAACUUCUUUCACAGAUCUUUCAUGGUGAAUGCUUCAACUUUUUCAAUGUUCAUGAAGGAAAUAAAAUAAUUAGCCAUAGGUUGUCUCACAAAAAGGUUCUUGUUGUUCUUGAUAAUGUUGAUAACAUACAACACCUAAAAUGCUUGAUUGGAAGGCAUGAUUGAUUCGGAUUAGGUAGCAGAAUCAUUGUAACAACAAGAGACGAACAUUUGCUUCGAUGUUGCCAAGUUAAUGAUGUGUAUAUGCCCACAACACUUAAUCCCAAAGAGGCGCUUCAACUUUUCAGUCUGAAAGCUUUUCAUAGUGAUACAGUGCAUAAAGAUGAUUUCAUUGAACUUUCUAAACAUGUUGUAAAUUAUGCUGGUGGACUCCCUUUAGCUCUUGAAGUUUUGGGCUCCUUUUUGUGCGGUAGAGAUGCGACUCAAUGGAGAAGUGCGAUUGAAAGACUUAAAAGAGAUUCUAAUAAAGAAAUUCUCGAUAAACUUCGAAUCAGUUUUGAUGGACUGGAAGAAAGGGAGAAGAAUAUAUUUUUAGAUAUAGCAUGCUUCUUCAACGGGGAGAAGAAAGAUUUUGUAAUGAAAGUAUUAGAUGGUUGUGAGUUUUUUCCCGAUAUUGGAAUUGAUGUUUUCAUUAAGAAAUCUUUAAUAAAAGUCAAUGAUGUCAACCAAUAUUUGUGGAUGCAUAGUUUGUUGCAAGAAAUGGGAAGAAAAAUUGUUAGAGAAAAAUGUGUUGAUGAACCUGGAAAACGUUGCAGAUUGUGGGAGGGAAGUGACGUCCAUCAUGUCCUAACAAAAAACACUGUAAGUCAUUCAACAAAAGUCACAUACUAUUUCUUUUCUAUCCUACAUUAUUCACCAUUUAUUUUAUUUUCUUAUUGUCUGUUCUUAAUCUUUUUUAGGCUACAGAAAUGAUUGAAGCCAUAAUCAUCGAUAAUAAAAAGUAAGAAGACACACAUAAACUUAUAUCUAUGUGUACUGUAAAUAAUUAUUAUUUUUAAAUAUGAUAAAAAAACUAUAGCAAAACUUUUGACAUUUAAUAUUUCAAUGUUCAAUUAUGAAAUUUAUCAACUAACAUAUUUACUUUUUCAAAAGAAUCAAAAGAGAAAUGUAUGUAUUUUUGAAAUAUUAAUGGUAUAUAUAUAUUUUUUGUGAAUAUUAAUGGUAUAUAUUUAAUGUACUAAAAGUGUAUAUCAGCGAAUUAGAUUAUAACAUGUCAUCAAAAUUUUUUAAUGAAAAUGGUUUCAUUUUUAAUUAUGUGUCAUUGUUUGGUUCAUUAACUUGUAAAUUAUGCAUUGUUUGCAGACCAAAUAUAAAUCAACAUAUUAAUUCAAUUUUUUAGGAUUAGGUAAUUUAACAUCGGAUGUGAUUGUUAGAUAUAAAUAUCUCUUUAAUAUGGGUAUAUUCAAAAAAAAUUUAAAAAUUAGUUUUUUCACGUAUUUAAAGGUUCUUAAAGAAUCAUAUCUUAAUACUCAUAUACGAAUGUGCAUUAGAUAUAAGUACCGGAUACGAGUACUUAAAAAACAAUAUCAAUGCAACAUUUCUUUUAGAUAUUGAAUGUUUUUGUAUAUUUUGAAGCUCAUUUUUGUUUUGCUCAUGGAUAUUAGGGAAUCGAACAAGAUGAUCAAUUUAAGUGUGGAUACCUUCUUGAAGAUGAAAAAAUUGAGAUUGCUCAAAGUGCUUUGCCUUUUAAAUUGUGAUGAUCUCAAGUAUCUUUCUAAUGAACUACGACUUUUAGAUUGGACAGGAUACCCUUUAAGAUACUUGCCUUCAAGCUUUCAACCGGAUAACCUUGUCGCACUUCUUUUACCAUAUAGUCACGUUCAACAACUAUGGAAGGGAAAUAUAGUAAGAAUUAACUCAUCUUAUCCUUGUGUUUUAGCUUAUUUUAAUAUAAAUUAUUAAACUUUGAUUAAGGUAAAACAAAAAAACAAAAAUGAGCAUUAUUAUGUUUUCUCAUUUGUUUCUAAUUUAUUAUGGUCUUCAACAGCCCUUGUUUAACUUGAAAAUAAUGAACCUCAGAGGGUCUCAAAACCUGAUCAAGACACCAGACUUCACAACCGCAUCAAAUCUUGAAGUUUUGAUUUUGGAAGGUUGUACCAAAUUAGUGGAUGUUCAUCCAUCAAUCCGGGUGCUUAAGAGCCUUAAACUUUUGAAUUUAAGAGAUUGCAAAAGUCUUAGGACUCUUCCAACCAAAAUUGGAAUGGAAUCUCUUGAAACAUUAAUUCUUUCGGGUUGCUCAAGCCUUGUAAGGUUUCCAGAGAUUGAUAGAAAAAUGGAACGUCUAAAAACUCUAGAUCUUUCUGGUUGUUAUAGAGUUGAAAAUUUAUCAGAGAAUUUGCAGCAAGCAAAGUUACGACCAAAUUUGUCUUCUCUUUUCAAGGUAAUCGUAGGAAGAAGGAAGAAUCCCAUGCCUCGUAUGUUGCCUUCGCUGUUAGGUUUGAGUUCAUUAAGAGAGCUAAAACUAAGGGACUGCAAUCUUUGUGAAGGAGAUAUUCCACGAGAUAUUUCUGGUCUAUCCUCUUUGAGACGUCUUGAUCUUAGUGGUAAUAAUUUCAUCAGCAUACCUGCAUCUCUUACUCGACUCUCGAAGCUUUCGUCUCUUGAUUUGUCAAAUUGCAACAUGGGCACUCUUGGUGAAGCAGAAAUUCACGGUCUAUCCUCUUUGAAAUGUCUUCGUCUUUGUGGUAACAAUUUCAUCACCAUUCGUUUGGCUCUUACUCAACUUUCCAGGCUUGAAUCACUUGUAUUAUCAAAUUGCAUGAAGCUUAAAUUGUUGUCUGAGCUACCGAUUAGUUUAGCAUGUGUGAUUAUAGAUGGUUGUUCUUCACUUGAAGUAGUUACAAGUCUAUCAAAAAUAUGCAAUUCAGUUAUAGCCAUUAACUGCUUCAAACUGGCUGCGAAUAUCAAUGCAAUAACACUGCUGAAAAAAUAUCUUAAGGUCGAUUAAUCUCUUAUCUCUUAUUUCUCCCUUACAAAAUCCCAUACUUGAGAAUUUACAGUUUUAGUUACCAAACGACUUGUGUUUUGUUUUGCAGGCGUUUGGAAAUUCUAGAAAAAUGUUUCAAGUAAUUAUCCCAGGAAGUGAAAUCCCAGAUUGGUUUAGCGAACAAAAAAGUGAGUCGAGUCUUCAAUUAAGGUACCCCUACCUAUCAACCUUCGAAAAGAUAGUCAAUGGGUUGGAGUUGCUUGUUGCUGCAUUUUCGUUAAUACUCAUGUUUCAACGGAUGUCCAACAUAUCGUGUUCGGAGAAUCUAUUUUUCGAGGUAGAAUUCGUCAACAGAUUAAAUGGAGAGGCAAGUUGGCGGGUAAAGGAUAUAACCAGCCCAUAAUGAAAGAUCACCUUUUUCUUUGUUAUUGGUCGCGUGAUGUAUUAGAUGUAUUUGCCUAUAAAUAUGGUUACAGUGAAACCAAUAAUUUAUGGACAACAGAUUGCUCAGAUGAGGAAUGCAAUAUGUUUGAGGUGGCGUUCACAGCUCCAGCUGGAUACAAAGCUAAGGUGAAGAAGUGUGGUGUUAGAUUAGUGUAUGAAAAAGAUUUGAAAGAAAUAAAAGAGUUGCAGUGCCAUACCACUCAAUCUUCUCCAAAUUUUGAACACAUGCACCAAUACUCUCCUCACAAUGAUGGAACAGUAGGUAGCAUUCCUCACAUAAAACGAAAACGUAACAUCUACGAGGAAGUGGAGGAAGAAGUGCCACAACCAAAACGGAUGCAAAAUUUUUUCAAUUUUAUAAUGGACCAAUCCGGGAAGAAGCACUAACUGUGGUAAACUACUCAACCAAUCUUGUCCUAUUAGUUGGUUAUUUAUUUAUUUAUUUACAUAUCUACGUUGUUUACAUCUUUUGUUUCAUUCAUUCUAGAUUUAUUUGCGUAUGAGAUAUAAUCCUUCUUAUAUUCUAUACAUUUCUUAUAUGAAUGUUGAAAUGUGUAUUCUUUUUACAUAAUUGAAAUGUGUACAUUUUGAUUGGUAUUUUUUUUCUUAAAAUUUUAUUUUCAUUAUAUAUGUUAGACCUGUCCAUGGGCCGGGCGGCCCGGCCCGGCCCGAAAUAUGGGAGGGUUUGGGUAAAAAUAUAGGCCCGAAAUAUGGGCUUGGGCAAAAUUUUAGGCCCGUUUAAAAAAUGGGCCGGGCCUCAGGCAAGUUUUUUUGGCCCGGGCCUGGCCUGGCCCAGCCCGAAAAAUAUUAAAUAUAUUUUUUUUAUUUUUAAAAUAUAAUAGUUUUUUAUUUUAAGUUUAUUUACUUUCAUUUCCUUGACUAGUGUUACAAAAUAAUAAUAAUAAAACAUCAAGUUUGUUUUACUAAUCAAAUGUUAGAUUUUGUUACAACAAUUAAUACAAUUAAUACAAUUAAUAAUUUGAUAAAUUUACUAAUCAAAUGUUAGAUUUUAUUACAACAAUUAAUACAAUUAACAAUUAAUAAUUUGAUAAUUUUACUAACAAUUAAAUUUAAUAACAAUUAGUUUUAAUUUUAUUAAAAAAUAAUUUUAAUUUUAAUUUUAAUUAAAAACGGGACGGGCCGGGCUCGGGCCUCAUAUUUUUUCUUCUGGCCGGGCCUGGGCAAAAUCUCAAGCCCAUAUUUCGGGCCCGGGCCUAAUAAAUGGGCUGAAAUUUUUGUGGGCCCGGCCCGAACCCGGCCCGGCCAGGCCCAUGGACAGGUCAAAUAUAUGUACACUUACAUUUAUAUUUUAUUUGUAACUUGAGACAGAAAUGUGGAGAAAAAUGGAUAGCUUUGGUAACAAAGCAGAUAAUAAUAACAUGAAAAUAUUUUAAUGAGGAUUAGAUCAUAAUUUCAGUUGAUUUAAAAAUCAUUUCAUUUUUAUUUGUGAUCAACUUAUAUGUUCAAUUUACUCAAUCAAAAUUGUUUUUAUAUAUUUGGAAGAUAAAAUAUAAGUCCUUACUAAUAUUUAAAUAGGUUUAAUUCCUUCUAAUAAAUAUACCAUUAAAAUUUUAAUCUAAAAUGAAAAUAAAAGAUAGGAGAACAUACAUGUACAUUUAUACACGAGUAUUAUCGAUCUUUUUUUUGUUAAAAAUGUCCAAUAAAAAACAAUGUCAAAAACCUUUAAUGCUUCAUAUUUCAAUGUUUACAUUUAUGAAAUUAAUCUACCAAUGCAUUACUUCUUCAAAAAAUGGUAUGAAUGUCCUUUAUAUUUUCGAUAACAAAAUAAAUUAUUACAAAUGUCUAUUCAAAUCUAAAGAAUUUCAUCAAUUAAAUGAAGACCUCAUUGUUAUCUAAAGUCAACUUAGCAAUAUAAUUAACUUCUAGAUUCCUUUCAUGUGAAAUAUAUUUAAAUUUUCAGUGACUAAUAUUGUCUAUCAAGUCUUGCUGAAUAUGUUGGACAAGUGCGGAGGAAGAUGUCUUUGAGAAGGAUUCUUGAAUAGCUUGAAUAGCUUCUUGACUCUACUUAUCCAAACCCUAAACAUAUUCAAUACAGCAUCACCUUUACCAAAUAAUUUUUUCUGAUCGUCUUAAAAGGAGAGCAAAAUAACUUGUGUCCGCGACAAAACUGACUAGAACCCUCAAUCUCUAUUGUAUUUCCUUUUUCUUGUGUGUGUAAUAAUGUCUUGUUUGAUCAUGCUUGUGUUGCUUUUCCUCCUGAACCUUGUAUCUUCAGAUAUCAAUCAGGGUCAGUUCUGUUUCGAUGGUUACUUGAAUGUUGAUGGAGUUGCAGGCGUAGAUUCAAGUGGGCUCUUUAAACUGACUAAUUUUACAAGGCAAACAGAAAGUCACAUCUUCUACAAGAAUCCAAUCCAAUUCAAGAACUCCACAAAUGGUAGUGUUUUCUCUUUUCCCGCCACAUCCAUUUUUGCAAUUGUAUUGAAUACCCUACUUUGUCUGGCCAUGGAUUAGCCUUUGUAGUCUCGCCUAACAAUGGAAUUCCUGGAGCUCUUCCCAGCCAGUAUCUUGGUCUUUUCAAUCAAUCAAACAACGGUAACAGAUCAAAUCAUAUUGUGGCGGUCGAGCUGGACAUAAUUAUGAGCAGCGAAUUCGAUGACAUAAACGACAACCAUGUUGGCAUCGAUAUCAAUGGCCUAAACUCAAUGGUAUCUUCUCCUGCAAGGUAUUUCACUGAUGAGGGAAAGUUCAUAAAUGUCAGCCUUAUAAGAGAGGAUCCACUGCAAAUUUGGGUUGAAUACAGUGGGACUAAAAAACGACUCCACUUUUAUCCUUGAAUCGGGAUUUGUCUCCAUAUAUUUAUGACUCUAUGUAUGUAGGUUUCUCAUCUUCCACAGGUUCUGUUUUAUCAUCACACUACAUAUUGGCAUGGAGUUUCAAGAUGAAUGGCUCAGCUGAGGAGCUAGACUUGUCUCACCUUCCAAAAGUUCCACGAUUUGUUAAUGAUAAUAAUCGAGGAAUCAAGCAAUUGAAGAAGAUUUUGGCUAUCGCCAUUUUUUUCACAGGUCUCACUUUAGUCCUCGUAUUGGUUUUCAGGUUUGUGUUGAUCUCAAGGAAGAAGAGAUUCAUGGAGAUUCUGGAGGAUUAGGAGGUUCAGUACGGGCCUCAUAGAUUCUCAUAUAAAGAUCUAUUCAAAGCAACAAAGGGGUUUAAAGAAAAGGAAGUUCUAGGGAGAGGUGGAUUUGGUAAGGUGCAUAAGGGUGUUUUACCAUCUUCCAACAUACAAAUUACCGUCAAAAGGAUCUCUCAUAAUUCAAGGCAAGGUAUGAGAGAAUUCGUGGCUGAGAUUGCAACCAUCGGUCGCCUCAGACAUCCGAAUUUGGUUAGACUUCUCGGUUAUUGCAGGCGCAAGCACGAGUUGCUUUUGGUUUAUGACUGCAUGCCUAAUGGAAGUCUUGACAAUUUUCUUUACCACCAACCUAAUAGGAGCCUUAAGUGGACACAAAGGUUUAAUAUCAUCAAGGACGUAGCGUCCGCGUUGUUCUAUCUGCACCAACAGUGGGUGCAAGUCAUCAUUCACAGAGAUAUCAAGCCUGCCAAUAUGCUGACAGUUACAUGAACGCCCGACUAGGAGAUUUCGGGCUGGCAAAAACUAUGCGACCUUGGAAAUGAUCCUCAAACCUCGCAUGUAAUAGGUGAUGGAUCCGUUCUUGACAUUUAUAGAAACUAGGCGAAACAAUAAAUUGAACCUUUUUAAAAAAUUAUAAAAUGUAAUAUAAUAAAAUAAAAUCAUAUACUAGUAAUUUCAUUAAAUAAUAUCUUUUAUGACAUUAAGCAAAUAAAAUAUUUUUCCAACAAAAUUAAAAAAAUUCUUCAAUCUACUCCUAUGUUAUCAACUACAAGAACACAAAAAAUCAUAAAUAAAAAAAUGGGCUCUACGAGCAUUCUGAGAUACAAAAUUAUUAAUGAUAACACCAACACCAAUGUUUUCCAAAAAAAUCAUUCUCGAUUGAUAAAAUUGCCAGACCAUUCAACCGUUCUUGUGACAUUGACGACCACAAGAUUCAUUUCUCUUAUAGACCCCUUUUCAACUAAAAUGUCUCUUGUUUUGUUAUCAAGACUAGCUCAAUUUCUAGGAUCAUAAAUAUCCAAAAAAGAAAUUAUUUGUUCUUCAACAAUGCUAAUAUUAGGAGGAAUUAUUUGUUCUUCAUUAAGAAUAAGAUUUUCAAUACCGGAUACAUUUAACACAUCAUUAGGUUCAUUUGGGUCAUUAAUUUCAUCAUUCUCAUUGAUAUCAUUAUGCAAACUUUCAUUUAAUUGAUCCUAUUUUUCAUUAAAAAUUACUUUAAAAAAUUAUCAAUAGCAUAUUGUUGUGAUUAUUUUAACUCUUUAGCAUGUUUUCUCUUUUUACUUUUUUCACUUUCAGAUAAAUAAUUUUUAGGCAACAUUAUAUAUAAAAGAUAAAUUAGAUACUCAAGUAACACAAGAAAAUAAAACAAUAGUACUUGAUAGAAGAAUUUCAAGUUGAAUAUUUACUUUUACAUUUGUUAAUUUCAAAAGUCAAAUUGAGCCACUAAAAUUCUAUAAAUAUAAUUAUAAAAAUCAAUUACAAAUAAACACUGUAAUUAACAAUAUCCAAUUAUUUGUGAGGAAAAUACAACUUAAAAAUUAAAUGAGUAGCAAAAACAAUUAAAAUUUCAAUUGUAUAAAGGCAUAAAGAAAAGGUAUGUAGUAGUAUGUUGUACUAUGAUUAAUCAAAGAAUGAAUUAGGGGGAGAAACUAAAUAUAAUGAUGAAUUAAUGACUUUAUUAGUUAAAAUCCAAAAAUGUCAUCAAAUUAAGAAUGAAAAGGUUACAAGAAAGAAGAGAAAGGAGGUAAAAUUAUACCUACAACAAUGGUAGAUUCGACAAACCGCGGAUGAGAGGUUCUAAAUCUUUCAAAUAUAAAAUAAAAAUUAAUAACUUUAAUUUAUUAAUGCUAAUGACGGAUGAAUGAUAUAUUACUCAAAUCAAAUUUGGUCCUAUUUAAUUUGUAGAAAAUUUCUCCCACUGCCAUGGUUAUGAGAAAAUAAAUAAGGUUGAAUGCUAGUAACGAUUGAUUUUUUUGAGAAAAAUUAAAAUUAUUUUUUAACUUUAAAGAUAGGAGUUGAAAUUUGAGAAUUAGAAGAGGUUUGGAGAAGCAAAUGAGUUGAUGAUGAAAUAAGGUUGAUUGGUGGGGCUAUAUUUUGUUGACAGGUAGGAAUCAGACCAUAACGAAAGAUCACCUUUUUCUUCGUUAUUGGUCGCGUGAUAAAUUAUUUCCAUUUUCAUUGGAGGAUAAAUAUGGUGACUGUGAGCUUGAGGUGUCUUUCUUACAUCCAUGUAAACCCAAUGCUAAGGUGAAGUGUGGUGUCAGAAUAAUGUAUGAGAAAGAUUUGGAAGAAAUAAAAGAGUUGCAGUGCCAUACCACUCUAUCUUCUCUAAAUUUCGAACACAUCCACCAACACUCUGCUCACAACCAUAGAUCAGUAGGUAGCACUUCCCACAUCAAACAGAAAAUGUAACAUCUACGAGGAAGCAGAGGAAGAAGGGCCGCAACCAAAAUGGAUGCAAAAAUAUUUCAAUUUUAUGAUGGACCAAUCGGGGAAGAAGCAUUGAUUGUGGUAAAGUACUUAACCAACCAUGUACUAUUACUUCUAUUUCAUUUGAAAUAAUCAUUUUAAAUUUAUUUAAGUAUAAGAUAUGAUCUUUUUAAUAUAUAUUAAAAAAAUAUAAAAUUUUUAGCCGUACAAUAGUAUUGAAUAUGUACAUAUCUCAAAUGUUGAUAAUAUAAUUUUUUAUACCAUUUAAAAUUUGUCACUUAAUUUACAAUUUUUUACUAUUUAAAAUUUUAGUCGUUCAAUUCAUUCCUUUUUACAUGAUUGAAAUGUGUACAUUUUAACUAGUUUUAUUUAUUUAUUAAAAUUUUGUCUUCAUUAUAUAUAUUCACUUACAUUUAUAUUUUAUUUGUAGGUUGAAGUAAAUAUAAUCAAUUUGAGAUAGAGAGAUGUGAAGAAAAAUGGAUCGUUUCAUGACAAUGCAUGUAAUAAUAAAGUUAAAAAUCCUUUAAUGAGAAUAAGAUCAUAAUUUAUGCUGAGUUAAAAACUAUUUCAUUUUUGUUUUGAGACUAAUUUAUGUGUUCAAUUUAAUCAAUCAAAAUUAUUUUUAUAUAUUUGGAAUAUUAAAUAUAAGUCAUUUACAAUACUCAAAUAGGUUUAAUUUCUUAUAAUAAAAGUAUCAUUUAAAUUUCAUGGCUUGAAGUACAAAUAAUAUUAUUCUAACUCUUUCUUUUAUAAAGUAUAUUUUAUGUUUAGACAUUUAUUUUUAACACUUAUUCAAAUAUGAAUAUAAAGAGUAUGCUCCUUUAAUUAAUUGGAAGAUCUUUUUCGUGUGAGACACGUCACAUUCAUAUCUAAUAUUUUAAAAAAAUUUAAAAGAUUCAUUUUUUGUUCAUUCUAAUAUUAGGGUUUAGAGAUAUGAUUUUGGUUGACAUGAGCAAGAUUUUCAACGGUUGUGUUUUUUAUGAUAUCAAGAAAAAUUUCUCAAUUUGAGAUAAGUUAAUAUAUGAGCGAUAUAGAUUAAUCUUUUUUCGUGAUAUCAACAAUAAAUUUUUAAUAUUAUUUUUAAUACUAUAAAAAUAUUGAAGGGUCCUACUUAUAUUUUUAGGAGAGUUAUAAUAUAUACAAAGGAGGAAAUUACAAAAAUUUUAAGCCUUAGGGGGCCUACUUAUAUUUUUGGGAGGGUCAUAUUAUAUUUACAAAGGACAAAAUUACAAAAAAAUUAAAUUUUGAAGGGCUAUGGCCCAUGGGCCUCUACAUGGCUCCGUCGUUGCAUCAAUGCAAAAUCGAGAAAGAAAUGAAUAAGACGAUCUUCUAACUCCCUACCCCAAGCCCUAAUAUAAGCAAGGGGGAAGUCAGGAAAUUUUUGAGAGGGAUCGAAAUUAAAUUGUAUUUUUUAUGAUAGUAAAAUUGCAAUUUUACCAUUUUAAUAGUUAUAUAUUUAUAAUUUUUAAAGGAUUAAAACAAAUUUUUAUCAUUUUUAGGGGAGCCAAAGUAUAAUUUUAUCAUUACAAAUUUAAAAUUUUAAGGGCCCUAAAAGGAAAAUUUCCAUUUUAGUCCUCAUCCAUUCUGUAAGUUGAUCUUAUUUAACCAUCAAAUUUUAUAAAAAAAUUUAUUUUAGUCAUUUAUUUAAUUUUUUUAUCUUUUUAGCUUUUUAACUUGUGUUUUCUAUCAAAUCACCCUAAAAUUUGAUGAAUAAGUUAAAUUUUUUAACUUUACUGAUAUAGCAUACAUGUAUAUUGCCACAUGGAUGACAUAUCAUCAUUUAAUUUAUUUUUUAAAAUUUCAAAAAAUAAAAAAUAUAUUUUUAAAAAUUAAAAUAUUAAAAAUUUAAAAAAUAUUUUUAAAAUUUAAAAUAUUAAUUAAAUACUAACAUGUUAUCUGUAUGGUAAUCCGUAAAGUGAAUAAACAUUAAUUUUUUUAUCUAUUUUAAUGAGACCGAAAAUUCAUUUUUUUUCUUUUUAAAAUUACAUGACCGAAAAUUCAUUAUGACUUAUUUAUAUUCAGCGGAAGAAAAUUAAUUUGGGUUUGUGAUAAGAAAAAUAAUUGGUGAAGCCGUGAAGGUGACAUCAUUCAUUACACAACUCCUUUUUCCUUCAAUGGGAACGUUUUGUUGCGGCCAUAAUUCAUUGUCGGUGGUAGAGGUGUUGAUGGUGGAGUGGUCAUUCGAAACCAUUGCCUAAUUGUGACUAAUUAGGUAAGGAAUUCACUCAAAGUAAUUAUUCUAGGGUCCAUUUUAUCAACACCCACCUUCUUGGAUUCACAUGCAUCACUCAUUUAUGACCCCCCAAUUACCACAACUACUCGCGUUCAUUUGGAAAAUGAAAAGGUUAUAGAAAAAUUGCUUAGAAACCACCUUCAUUCUUCCCUGGAAAUUUGAUCUGUUUCUACUUUCUUUCAGCCGUAUUGAGCGAUCAGUUUUCUGAUUUUCAACACUACAUCCACAUAUAUAUUUUUUUCUCGCACAUUGUCAUGUCGUCAUUACCUUCAACUUCUUCGUCCAAUUCAAGAAAGAAAUAUGAUGUUUUCUUGAGUUUUAGAGGUGAAGAUACCCGCAACAACUUUACCGAUCAUCUCUAUGAUGCUUUAAGUAGGAGUGGGAUCGUCACUUUCAGGGAUGAUCCAAAGCUGGAGGCCGGCGAAGAGAUCUCGCCAGAACUCUUUACAGCAAUUCAGCAGUCAUGGUGUUCGGUAAUCGUUUUUUCACAAACUUAUGCCUUUUCAAGUUGGUGCUUGGAGGAGCUUGCUGAGAUUGUUAAACAACAUAACAACGACGGCCAUAAAGUGUUUCCAAUUUUUUACGAUGUUGAUCCAUCUGAUUUAAGAAGACAAAAAGAGAAAGUGGAAGAAGCCUUCGCUAAACAUGAAAAGAGAUACAGAGAAGAUAGUGAGAAGAUCCAAAGGUGGCGAAAUGCUUUAAUUCAAGUGGCUGGAAUCAAGGGAUGGCAUUUAAAUAACAGGUAACUCUUUCUUUUCUUCUCUAUUUUCUAUUUUGGGAUAUAUAUGUAUAACUUUGUUUUUUCUUUCUAAUCCUAUGUGUUUAAUUGAAAAGUGUCUUGGUUGUUGUUUGCUUCGAAACUAUAGUAUGUUUCACGAUUCAUUGAAAAAGAAAGUGCAUUUGAUAAUAUGAAACAAAAAUUAUUCAAAAAAUUAAAAUUUCAUUUCUUGUAGGCAUGAAUCAGAAUUUAUUAGAGAGAUUAUUAAGAAGAUAUCAGCAAAACUAUGUCACCCAGUUACUCAUAGUGACUUGGUUGGAAUGACUGAACGCUUGGAGGAUUUAUAUUUGAAAAUAAACAUUGGGGAAAAUGAUGUCCGCAUUAUAGGGAUUUGCGGAAUGGGUGGUAUCGGUAAAACAACACUCGCAAGACUUGCUUAUAAUCAAAUGUCACAUCAUUUUGAAAGUAAAAGCUUUAUUGCUGAUAUUCGAGAAGUUUCAGACAAAUGUGGAUUAGUUUCUUUACAGAAACAGCUUCUUUCGGAGAUUUUUCAUGAUGAAUGCUUCGAAUUUUUCAAUGUUCAUGAAGGGAAUGAUAUAAUUAGUCAUAUGUUGUCUCGCAAAAAGGUUCUUGUUGUUCUUGAUGAUGUUGAUAACAUUCAACACUUAAAAUGCUUGGUUGGAGGGCAUGAUUGGUUCGGAUUAGGGAGUAGAAUCAUUGUAACAACAAGAGACGAACAUUUGCUUCAAUCUUGCCAAGUUGACGAUGUGUAUAUACCCACAACAUUGAAUACCACAGAUGCGAUUCAACUUUUCAAUUUGAAAACUUUCCGUAGUGAUACAGUGCCGAAAGAUGAUUUUAUUGAGCUUUCUUACCAUGUUGUAAGUUAUGCUGGUGGGCUCCCGUUAGCUCUUGAAGUUUUAGGUUCCUUUUUGUGCGGUAGAGAUGCUGCUCAAUGGAGAAGUGCGAUUGAAAGACUUAAAAGAGAUUCUAAUAAAGAAAUUCUUAAUAAACUUCGGAUCAGUUUUGAUGGAUUGGAAGAAAGAGAGAAAAAUAUAUUUCUAGAUAUAGCAUGCUUCUUCAACGGGGAGAAGAAAGAUUUUGUAAUGAAAGUAUUGGAUGGUUGUGAGUUUUUCCCCGAUAUUGGAAUUGAUGUUCUCAUUAAGAAAUCUUUAAUAAAAGUCGAUGAUGGCAACCAAUAUUUGUGGAUGCAUGACUUGUUGCAAGAAAUGGGAAGAAAAAUUGUUAGAGAAAAAUCUAUUGAUGAACCUGGAAAAUGUUGCAGAUUGUGGGAGGAAACAGAUGUCCAUCAUAUCCUAACAAAAAACACGGUAAGUUACUCAACAAAAGUUACAUACUAUUUUUUUUUAUAGAAUAUCUAAUAAUAUAUGAUAUAAAUUCAAAGCUUAGUAUAAUUGGUUGAUACAACAUCCAUAAAAAGUGUUAUUUGGUACUUUUGAGAUAAAUUAUGUUUGAUGUUUACAAAUGUUAACAAAAAUUUAUAGAAAAAAAAUUUAAUUUCAUUGCAUUACCCUCAUUAGAAACUGUUUUACUUUGUUUAAAAUGCUUUAUUUAUUAUAUUUCGAGCAUAAUAAUGCUAGAAGUUUAAUUUUACAUUAUACACCAUUUAUUUUAUUUUCUUAUUUUCAAUUCUAAAUUUUUUUAGGCCACAGAAAUGAUUGAAGGCAUAUUCAUCAAUAAUAAAAGGUAAGAAAGUGCAUAUAAGUUUAUAUCUUUGUGUAUUAUAAAUGAUGAUUUUAUUUAUUUUAAAUGUGAUAAGAAACUAUAGCAAAACCUUUGACAUUCAAUAUUUUCAAUGUUUAAUUAUGAAAUUUAUCUAGCACAUAUUACUCUUUUAAAAGAAUCAAUAUUGAAAUGUGUAUAUCUUUGUGAAAUAUUAUGGUAUAUAUUUAAUGCACUAAUAGUGUAUACACCAAUGAAUUAGAUUGUAACAUGUCAUCCAAAUUUUUUUUAAAAUGAAUAUGGUUUUAUUUUUAAUUAUGUAUCAUUGAACCAUAUAGAAUUAUGCAUUGUUGGCUGACCAAAUAUAAAUCAAAAUAUUAAUUCACAUUUUUUAGGGUUUGGUAAUAUAACGUCAGAUGUGUGGUUGUUAGAUAUGUGUAUAUCUUCAGUAUUGGUACAUUCAAUUUUUUAAAGAAUUUUUUCAUGGAUUUAAAGAGUUCUUAAAGGAUCUUAAUAUCGAUAUUCGGAUAUGCAUUAGAUAAAAGUAUAGGAUACGGGUACAUAAAAAAACGACAUCGAUACAACAUAGCUCUUAGAUAUUGAAUGUUUUAAUUUCUAUACUCUUAAGCUCAUUUUUGUUUUCCUCAUGGAUAAAAGUAUUGGAUACAGGUACUUAAAAACAAUAUCAAUGCCACAUAGCUUUUAGAUAUUGAAUGUUUUUGUAUAUUCUAAAGCUCGUUUUUAUUUUGUUCAUGGCUAUUAGGGAAUCAAGCAAGGUGCUCAGCUUGAGUGUCAAUGCCUUCUCAAAGAUGAAAAAAUUGAGAUUGCUCAAAGUGCUUUGCCUCUCAAAUUGUGAUGAUCUCAAAUAUCUUUCUAAUGAACUACGACUUUUAGAUUGGAAAGGAUGCCCUUUACGAUCGUUGCCCUCAAGCUUCCAACCAGACAACCUUGUCGCACUUCUUUUACCAUAUAGUAACAUUAAACAACUAUGGAAGGAAAAUAGAGUAAGAAUUAACUCAUUUGGUCAUUGUGUUUUAGCUUAUUAUAAUAUAAAUGAUUAAAUUUUGAUUAAGAUAAAAAAUAAAAAUGAGCAUUAUUAUAUUAUCUCAUUUGUUUCUAAUUUAUUAUGGUCUUCAACAGCCCUUGUAUAAGUUGAAAAUGAUGAACCUUGAAGGGUCCCAAAACCUGAUCAAGACACCAGACUUCACAACAGCACCAAAACUUGAAGCUUUGAUCAUGAAAGGUUGCACCAAAUUAGUGGAUUUUCAUCCAUCAAUUGGAAUGCUUAAGAGCCUUAAACUUUUGAAUUUAAGAGAUUGCAAAAGUCUUAGGACUCUUCCGACGAUAAUUGGAAUGGAAUCUCUUGAAACAUUAAUUCUUUCGGAUUGCUCAAGUCUUGUAAGGUUUCCAGAGAUUGAUGGGAAAAUGGAACGUCUAAAAACUCUAGAUCUUUCUGGUUGUUAUAGAGUUGAAAAUUUAUCGGAGAAUUUGCUGCAAGCAAAGUUUUUGGAAGAGCUCGACUUGAGUGAAACAGCCAUAACAGAACCACCAUCCUUCAUUUUUCAAUUUAAAAAUCUUAAAGUUCUGUCUUUCAAUGGGUGCAAGGGACCAUCAUAUAAGUUACGACUAAAUUUGCCUUCUCUUUUCAAGGUAAUCCAAGGCAGAAGGACGAAUCCCAUGGCUCGGAUGUUACCUUCAUUGUCAGGUUUGAGUUCAUUAAGAGAGUUGAAUCUAAGGGACUGCAAUCUUUGUGAAGGAGAUCUUCCACGUGAUAUUUCUGGUCUAUCUUCUUUGAUACAUCUUGAUCUUAGUGGUAACAAUUUCAUCAGCAUACCUGUAUCUUUUACUCGACUCUCAAAGCUUAAAUUGCUUGCAUUAUCAGACUGCUUGAAUCUUAAAUCGUUGCCUGAACUUCUAAAAAGUAUAAAAACGGUGUGGAUAGAUGGUUGUGCUUCACUUGAAGUAGUUGCAAGUCCAUCAAAAGUAAGCAAUUUAGUGGAUUCGGCUGCCGUUAGCGCCAUUAACUGCUUCAAAUUGUCUGAGAAUAUCUAUGCAUUAACACUGCUGAAAACACAUCUUAAGGUCGAUUAAUCUCCUUAUUUUCCCUUACAAAAUCUCAUACCAGAGAAUUUAUGGUUUUAGUUACCAAACGACUUGUGUUUUAUUUUGCAGGCAUUUGCAAAUUCAAGGAAAAGGUUUGAUAUUACUAUGCCUGGAAGUGAAAUCCCAGAAUGGUUUGAUAUUAUUAUGCCCGGAAGUGGAAUCUCAGAAUGGUUUAGCCAACAAAAAAGCGACUCUUCAAUUGAUUCUAUUAAGAUACUCCUACCUAUCAACCUUCGGAAAGAUAGUGAAUGGAUUGGAGUUGCUUGUUGCUGCAUUUUUGUUAAUAAUGAUGCUUCAACGGAUGACGAGCUUCUCAAUUGUAGAGCAUCUGUCAAUUGUGGAGAGAUUAGUCGGAAACGCUGGAAUAUGGGUAAACGAUUUAACGAGCCCAUAAUGAAAGAUCACCUUUUUCUUCGUUAUUGGUCGCGUGAUAAACUAUAUCCAUUUUCAUUUGAGGAUGAAUAUGGUGACUUUGAAACCAAUCAUUUAUGCGAUGAUGAGCUUGAGGUGUCUUUCAGUGGAAGCAGUGCUAAGGUGAAGAAGUGUGCUUUUAGAAUAGUGUAUAAGAAAGAUUUGGAAGAAAUAAAUGAGUUGCAGUGCCAUAGCACUCAAUCUUCUCCAAAAUUUGAACACAUCCACCAACACUCUGCUCGCAACGAUGGAUCAAUAGGUAGCAUUUCCUACACAAAACGAAAACGUAAUAUCUACGAGGAAGCGGAGGAAGAAAGGCCGCAACCAAAAUGGAUGCAAAAAAUUUUCAAUUUUAUAAUGGGCAAUUCGAAGAAGAAGCAUCAAUUGUUGUAAACUACUUAUCUCACCUUGUCCUAUUACCUUUUUUUUUACACAUUUACGUUUUUCCAUCUUUUAUUUCAUUUAAAAUAAUCAUUCUAGACUUAUUUGGAUAUGAGAUAUGAUUCUUCUAUUAUAUAUCUUUUAUUCUUACUCAUAUUUUGUACAUAUCCCAAAUGCUUCGGUGACAAAAAGUAAUAAUAAGGUGAAAAUCCUUUAAUGAGGAUUGAAUUAUAAUUUGGGCCACCUUAAAAAUCAUUCCAUUUUUAUUUAAGAUCAACUUAUGUGUUUAAUUUAAUUAGUCAAUUUAUAUAUAUAUAUUUGAAAGAUUAAAUAUAGUCCUUAAUAGUAUUUAAAUAGGUUUAAUUCCUUCUAAUAAAAGUACCACUUAAAUUUCGUGAUUUGAUUUACAAAUAAUAUUAUUUCAACUCUUCGAUAUAUAAUUUUUAUUAAGUAUUUAUGAUUUUUGGUCGACAUGAUUGUGUUUCCUAUAUCAAUAAAAAUUCCUCAAUUUGAGAUAAUUAAGUUAAUAUGCUAGUGAUAUAAAUGAUCUAAAUGCAACCAAAAUAAUCUUGGUGUUUUAUGUUUGUCCCUAGACCAAUAGAAGCAUGGCAGGCUCAAAGGAUCAUACAAGUGAGGGGCCAACAGAAGUCAGGUUGAAAUGGAAGUGGAUACUUUAGCAUUUAUAGGCUCAAUGAAUUAAUUAGGGAAUUAGGAUUUCGAGAAAUAGAUUAUGAUAUUAUAUAAUUAGUUGCUUUUUACAUGUAGUGUAAUGUAAUGCAAGUUAUACUAUUUUAAACCAACUUUUUGAAUUUGUUGUUUGUAAAAUGUAAUUCAAAUAGUAAUUUAAUUGUAAGGUCAAUAAUACCUUUUGAAUUAAGUGGUGUAGUCGUAAACUAAUUAAUUGAGAACAAAAUUUAAGUAUUUAUUGCAUAAAACAGAAAUUAAAAGAUAGAAUUCAUCAUAAGGUUCAUCUCCCCUAGGUAUUUAGAAAAUUAGUUCAUAAUUGCAAAUAAAAACAUUCAAAAGAUAGUAUAACCACAAGAAACAAAGAAACUCAUAAUAAACUUCAAAGAAAUCAAAAAUUUUAAUAGUUUAUAUAUUUAUAAUUUUUAUCAUUUUAAUAGUUUAUAUAUUUAUAAUUUUUAAAAGAUUAAAUUAAAAUUUUAUUAUUUUUAAGGGAGCCAAAGUGUAAUUUUAUCAUUACAAAUUUAAAAUUUUAAGGGCCCUAAAAGGAAAAUUUCCAUUUUAAGGGGUCGGUGCCAUCUAAAAAGAAAAGAGAAUAUAAAUAAAAAAUAAAAAACAAAAAACCAUUCACGGCUUAGUCCUCAUCAUUCUGUAAGACCUCCAGGUCGAAUGAUUUAUUUAAGCAUCAAAUUUUAUUAAAAAAUUAUUUUAGUCAUUUAUUUAAUUUUUUUUAUAUUUUUAGUUUUUUAAUUUGUAUUUUUUAUCAAAUCACCCCAAAAUUUGAUGAAAAAGUUAAUUUUUUAAUUUACUGAUAUAACAUACAUGUAUAUUACCAUAUGAAUGACAUAUCUUCAUUUAAUUAAUUUUUUAAAAUUUAAAAAAAUUAAUUAAAUACUAACAUGUCAUCCGCGUGGUAAUUCACGAGUAUACCAUAUCAAUAAAGAGAAUAAAUAUUAAUUUUUUAUUUAUUUUAAAGUAAUUUCACAAAAAAUUCAAAUUCCAGAGUUAUAGAGAAAGCAAGUAAAGCACACACUUAAGAACAGUUGCAAUUAUUGUAGGCUCCAUUUUAUCAACACCCACCUUGUUGGAUUCAUAUGCAUCACUCAUUUAUGGCCCCCCACUUUCCACAACUACGCGCAUUCAUUUGGAAAGUGAAAAGGUUAUAGAGAAAUUGCUUAGAAACCACCUUUAUUCUUCCCUGGAAAUUUGAUCUGAUUCUAGUUUCUUUCAGACGUAUUGAGCUAUCAGUUUUCUGAUUUUCAACACUACAUCCACAUUUUUUUUUCUCUCACAUCGUCAUGUCGUCAUUACCUUCAACUUCUUCGUCCAAUUCUAGAAAGAAAUAUGAUGUUUUCUUGAGUUUUAGAGGUGAAGAUACCCGCACCAACUUUACCGAUCAUCUCUAUGAUGCUUUAAGUAGGAGUGGGAUCGUCACUUUCAGGGAUGAUCCAAAGCUGGAGGCCGGUGAAGAGAUCGCGCCAGAACUCUUUACAGCAAUUCAGCAAUCAUGGUGUUCGGUAAUCGUUUUUUCACAAACUUAUGCCUUUUCAAGUUGGUGCUUGGAGGAGCUUGCUGAGAUUGUUAAACAACAUAACAACGACGGCCAUAAGGUGUUUCCAAUUUUUUACGAUGUUGAUCCAUCUGAUUUAAGAAAACAAAAAGAGAAAGUGGAAGAAGCCUUUGCUAGACAUGAAGAGAGAUACAAAGAAGAUAGGGAGAAGAUCCAAAGGUGGCGAAAUGCUUUAAUUCAAGUGGCUGGAAUCAAGGGAUGGCAUUUAAAUAACAGGUAACUCUUUCUUUUCUUCUCUAUUUUCUAUUUUUUGGGAUAUAUAUGUAUAAACUUUUUUCUUUCUUUCUAAUCCUAUGUGUUUAAUUGAAAAGUGUCUUGGUUCUUGUUUGCUUCCAAACUAUAUAAUGUUUCAUGAUUCAUUGAAAAAGAAAGUGCAUUUGAUAAUAUGAAACAAAAAUUAUUCAAAAAAUUAAAAUUUCUUUUCUUGUAGGCAUGAAUCGGAAUUUAUUAGAGAGAUUAUUAAGAAUAUAUCAGCAAAACUAUGUCACCCAGUGACUCAUAGUGACUUGGUUGGAAUGACUGAACGCUUGGAGGAUUUAUAUUUGAAAAUAAACAUUGGGGAAAAUGAUGUCCGCAUUAUAGGGAUUUGCGGAAUGGGUGGUAUCGGUAAAACCACACUCGCAAGACUUGCUUAUAAUCAAAUGUCACAUCAUUUUGAAAGUAAAAGCUUUAUUGCUGAUGUUCGAGAAGUUUCAGACAAAUGUGGAUUAGUUUCUUUACAGAAACAACUUCUUUCGGAGAUUUUUCAUGAUGAAUGCUUCAAAUUUUUCAAUGUUCAUGAAGGGAACGAUAUAAUUAGUCAUAUGUUGUCUCGCAAAAAGGUUCUUGUUGUUCUUGAUGAUGUUGAUAACAUUCAACACUUAAAAUGCUUGGUUGGAAGGCAUGAUUGGUUCGGAUUAGGGAGUAGAAUCAUUGUAACAACAAGAGAAGAACAUUUGCUUCGAUCUUGGCCAGUUGAUGAUAUGUAUGAGCCCACAACAUUGAAUCCCAAAGAUGCUCUUCAACUUUUCAGUCUGAAAGCUUUUCAUGGUGAUACAGUGCCGAGAGAUGAUUUCAUUGAGCUUUCUUACCAUGUUGUAAAAUAUGCUGGUGGGCUCCCGUUAGCUCUUGAAAUUUUGGGUUGCUUUUUAUGCGGUAGAGAUGCUACUCAAUGGAGAAGUGCAAUUGAAAGACUUAAAAGAGAUUCUAAUAAAGAAAUUCUCGAUAAACUUCGAAUCAGUUUUGAUGGACUGGAAGAAAGGGAGAAGAAUAUAUUUCUAGAUAUAGCAUGCUUCUUCAAUGGGGAGGAGAAAGAUUUUGUAAUGAAAGUAUUGGAUGGUUGUGAGUUUUUCCCAGAUAUUGGCAUUGAUGCUCUCAUUAAAAAAUCUCUCAUAAAAGUCGAUGAACACAAAUAUUUGUGGAUGCAUAACUUGUUGCAAGAAAUGGGAAGAAAAAUUGUUAAAGAAAAAUGUGUUGAUGAACCUGGAAAACGUUGCAGAUUAUGGGAGGAAAGAGACGUCUAUCAUGUCCUAACAAAAAACACUGUAAGUCAUUUAACAAAAGUUACAUACUAUUUCUAUUUUGUUAUAUAAUAUCAAAUCAAUAUAUGAUAUAAACCCAAAGCUUAGUCUAAUUGGUUGAUACAACUAUUCUUAAAAAGUGAUCUUUAGUAAUUUUGAGAUUACAAAUAUUAAAAAGGAUUUGUAGAAAUAAAUAUUUAAUUUCAUUGCAUUGCCCUCUUUAGAGGAUAUAUAAUAUUUGUAGAAAUUGUUUUACUUCGUUUAAAAUGCUUUAUUUAUUAUAUUUAGAAUAUAAUAAUGCUAAAUAAAAAUGUAAGUUUUUAAAAGUUUUAUCCUACAUUAUACACCAUUUAUUUUGUUUUCUUAUUUUCUAUUCUUGAUUUUUCUUAGGGUACAAAAAUGAUUGAAGGUAUAAUCAUCAAUAAUAAAAGGUAAGAAGACACAUAAAACUUAUAUUUAUGUGUACUGUAAAUAAUUAUUUUGUUUUCUUAAAUAUGAUAAGAAAUUAUAGCAAAAUCUUUGAUACUCAAUAUUUCAAUGUUUAAUUAUGAAAUUUAUUUAGUAGCGUAUUACUCUUUCAAAAGAAUCAAUAGAGAAAUGUAUGUCUUUUUGAAAUAUUAAUAGUAUAUCAAUGAAUUAGAUUAUAACAUAACUUUUAGAUAUUGAAUGUUUUUGUAUAUUGUGAAGCUCAUUUUCAUUUUGUUUUAUUCAUGAUUAUUAGGGAAUCGAGCAAGAUGCUCAACUUGAGUGUCGAUGCCUUCUCAAAAAUGAAAAAGUUGAGAUUGCUCAAAGUGCUUUGCCUAUCAAAUUGUGAUGAUCUCAAAUUUCUUUCUAAUGAGCUACGGCUUUUAGAUUGGAAAGGAUACCCUUUAAGAUCGUUGCCUUCAAGCUUCCAACCGGACAACCUUGUUGCACUUCUGUUACCAUAUAGUCGCAUUCAACAACUAUGGAAGGGAAAUAGAGUAAGAAUUAACUCAUCUCAUCCUUGUAUUUUAGCUUAUUUUAAUAUAAAUGAUUAAACUUUGAUUAAGGUAAAAAGACAAAAAUAAGCAUUAUUAUGUUUUCUCAUUUGUUUCUAAUUUAUUGUGAUCUUCAACAGCCCUUGUGUAAGUUGAAAAUCAUGAACCUGGAAGGGUCCCAAAACCUGAUCAAGACACCAGACUUCACAACGGCAUCAAAUCUUGAAGUUCUAAUAUUGAAAGGUUGUACCAAAUUAGUGGAUGUUCAUCCAUCAAUCGCAGUACUUAAGAGCCUUAAAGUUUUGAAUUUAAGAGAUUGCAAAAGUCUUAGG